GGUACGCAGUCUCACAUCCACGCUUCGGUGCCGCCGUAUGUAUUCGUAUCGCAAAUCUCUUUCACUGGUGUGAGUGGAAGACACGCGCGUGGACGCUGCGGCUGGCAGGCAUCACGCUGCCAGCCAACGCGCGGCCGCCCCCGCUGCCUGUUCGCACGGCGGUCAACUUAGGUGGCGAUCUUUUAGGUGAGAUCAUAAUUUUUUCUUUGGGUUCACUUAUAAUUAUUUUCGAAGUCAAUCGUCAGGCAAAUAAACAAGAGGACAAGAAGUUAUACAAGAAGUCGGAGUGGUUGGCGAUCGCUUUGUCUCUGGAGGAGCUGCAGCGCGAACUGGCGCUGCAACAACUCGACAUCGAGCGUUUUCACUCCACACUGCUUCAGCUGAAAUCCCUACAGGAGCAAAAUAAUAAUCCCUCGGAACGACGAUGAUGUAGGGGCCAAUCAAUACCAUA